UACGGGAGAGGCAAGCGUUGUUCGGAAUCACUGGGCUUAAAGCGCGUGUAGGCGGUUCGGUAAGUACUUUGUGAAAUCUCCCCUCUCAAUGGGGAAAUGGCUUGGUAUACUGCCAAACUUGAGGUAGGUAGAGGUGCCUGGAACUCUAGGUGGAGCGGUGAAAUGCGUAGAUAUCUAGAGGAACGCCCGUGGCGAAAGCGGGGCACUGGGCCUGUCCUGACGCUGAGACGCGAAAGCGUGGGUAGCAAAC
rnacentral:rRNA from 1 species